GACGAGGGGUCCAAGCGUUGUUCGGAAUCAUUGGGCGUAAAGCGGGUGUAGGUGGAUUUGUAAGUCAGGAGUGAAAGCCCCAGGCUUAACCUGGGAAGUGCUUUUGAUACUGCAAAUCUUGAAUGUGGGAGAGGAUGGUGGAAUUCCAGGUGUAGUGGUGAAAUACGUAGAUAUCUGGAGGAACUCCGGUGGCGAAGGCGGCCAUCUGGCCCAACAUUGACACUGAGACCCGAAAGCGUGGGGAUCAAACAGG
rnacentral:rRNA from 1 species